rnacentral:rRNA from 1 species
AUGGCGGCCUCUCUCCUCCACGCAGCCGCCUCCUCCCCGCUCGCGGGCCCCUACCCGGCCGCCCGCGCGGCCUUCCGCCCCCUCGCUUCCUCCCCAUUCCUGCGCCUCGCGCGCUCCUCUCCCGACCGCCGUGCCCGACUGGACUUCCCGCUCCGGGCGCUCUCGGGUGGCGCUCGCCUCUCCACCGGAGUGGCCGCCCUCCGUCCUCGCCGCUUCGUCGCCGCCCUCGCGGGGGAGGAACCGAUGAGUUCAGAAUUGGGUGAUGACAAGGAAAAGGAAACGGAAAAGAUCGAAAUAGAGCCCGAGGAGGCCCAGGAAGUGUGGAGGGAAAUGCUCAAGCAGUUCAAGGCCGAGGCCAUCCGAAUGCAGGCCCUGACAACGCAGGCAUACGAUGUCUACUCCAAGAGGGCGAGGGAGGUGCUGUUAGAGGCCUCAGAGAAGCUAAGGAUCCAGGCAGAUAAAGCACAAAAGGACCUGACCAUUAUCGCUGCAGAGGUUGGUGAGGAGGGGCAGGAAUAUCUACAGCUGGCAGCUAAGAACUCCCCAGAUUCAAUCAAGGAUAUCACCGAGACAAUCAAUGCAGUUGGCAACCUCAAUGGGCCAUCAGAGUAUAAGGAUUAUCAUGUCGGCAUUUCAUUUGGUACCUUUCUUACUGUAGGAGGUUUCCUGAACUUCAUGCUAACUGGAAGUACAUCUGCAAUUCGCUUUGGCUUUGUUCUUGGCUUUGCACUAUUGGCUCUGGGUAUCUCAAGUUUGAGAUCACAAAGAGCAGGCGGUCGUCAGCCUCGUCUUCUGCUGAAAGGGCAAGCUGCUAUUGCAAGCGUUAUCUUCUUCAAGGACUUGUCAGUUUUCUUCAGGUAUGGGUGGUUUCCAAAUGUUUUCGCGGUCCUUCUCAGUGGAAUGGUGGCGACCUUUUACAUUCAUCGCAUUGUGACUGGUGGCCACAAAGGUCGCGCGGAGAGCAGUUCAGAUAACUAA